GGGUAUAGCAGAUGUUCCAGAUGCAUGAUAUCGACGUGAGAGUGGGGGACAACCUUGAUUUAUUUAAAGCUUUGAGUUAUAAAUUUCAGAAACAAUGUAAUUGGAUUUACUUUAUUUCGUUAUUGUUAUGUGAAUAUUCCUGUUCGUCAUCAUCGUCCAACGCGUGAUUACCCCUCUUCUAUAAUCUAAUCUCUAGUUGCAUGUUUGUCUUUAACUGGCACCACCAUCACCCUCC
rnacentral:lncRNA from 1 species